rnacentral:rRNA from 1 species
GGUUAAGCGACUAAGCGUACACGGUGGAUGCCCUGGCAGUCAGAGGCGAUGAAGGACGUGCUAAUCUGCGAAAAGCGUCGGUAAGGUGAUAUGAACCGUUAUAGCCGGCGAUGUCCGAAUGGGGAAACCCAGUGCAAUUCGUUGCACUAUCGUUUGAUGAAUACAUAGUCAAACGAGGCGAACCGGGGGAACUGAAACAUCUAAGUACCCCGAGGAAAAGAAAUCAACCGAGAUUCCCCCAGUAGCGGCGAGCGAACGGGGAGCAGCCCGGAGUCUGAAUCAGCUUGUGUGUUAGUGGAAGCGUCUGGAAAGUCGCAGGGUACAGGGUGAUACUCCCGUACACUAAAACACACAGGCUGUGAACUCGAAGAGUAGGGCGGGACACGUGGUAUCCUGUCUGAAUAUGGGGGGACCAUCCUCCAAGGCUAAAUACUCCUGACUGACCGAUAGUGAACCAGUACCGUGAGGGAAAGGCGAAAAGAACCCCGGCGAGGGGAGUGAAAAAGAACCUGAAACCGUGUACGUACAAGCAGUAGGAGCCUCUUUAUGGGGUGACUGCGUACCUUUUGUAUAAUGGGUCAGCGACUUAUAUUCUGUAGCAAGGUUAACCGUAUAGGGGAGCCGCAGGGAAACCGAGUCUUAACUGGGCGUUAAGUUGCAGGGUAUAGACCCGAAACCCGGUGAUCUAGCCAUGGGCAGGUUGAAGGUUGGGUAACACUAACUGGAGGACCGAACCGACUAAUGUUGAAAAAUUAGCGGAUGACUUGUGGCUGGGGGUGAAAGGCCAAUCAAACCGGGAGAUAGCUGGUUCUCCCCGAAAGCUAUUUAGGUAGCGCCUCGUGAACUCAUCUUCGGGGGUAGAGCACUGUUUCGGCUAGGGGGUCAUCCCGACUUACCAACCCGAUGCAAACUACGAAUACCGAAGAAUGUUAUCACGGGAGACACACGGCGGGUGCUAACGUCCGUCGUGAAGAGGGAAACAACCCAGACCGCCAGCUAAGGUCCCAAAGUCAUGGUUAAGUGGGAAACGAUGUGGGAAGGCCCAGACAGCCAGGAUGUUGGCUUAGAAGCAGCCAUCAUUUAAAGAAAGCGUAAUAGCUCACUGGUCGAGUCGGCCUGCGCGGAAGAUGUAACGGGGCUAAACCAUGCACCGAAGCUGCGGCAGCGACACUAUGUGUUGUUGGGUAGGGGAGCGUUCUGUAAGCCGUUGAAGGUGGCCUGUGAGGGUUGCUGGAGGUAUCAGAAGUGCGAAUGCUGACAUAAGUAACGAUAAUGCGGGUGAAAAACCCGCACGCCGGAAGACCAAGGGUUCCUGUCCAACGUUAAUCGGGGCAGGGUGAGUCGACCCCUAAGGCGAGGCCGAAAGGCGUAGUCGAUGGGAAACAGGUUAAUAUUCCUGUACUCGGUGUUACUGCGAAGGGGGGACGGAGAAGGCUAUGUUGGCCGGGCGACGGUUGUCCCGGUUUAAGCAUGUAGGCGGAUGUUCCAGGUAAAUCCGGAACGUUACUAACGCUGAGGUGUGAUGACGAGGCACUACGGUGCUGAAGUGACAAAUGCCCUGCUUCCAGGAAAAGCCUCUAAGCAUCAGGUAACAUCAAAUCGUACCCCAAACCGACACAGGUGGUCAGGUAGAGAAUACCAAGGCGCUUGAGAGAACUCGGGUGAAGGAACUAGGCAAAAUGGUGCCGUAACUUCGGGAGAAGGCACGCUGAUAUGUAGGUGAAGUGGUUUACCCAUGGAGCUGAAAUCAGUCGAAGAUACCAGCUGGCUGCAACUGUUUAUUAAAAACACAGCACUGUGCAAACACGAAAGUGGACGUAUACGGUGUGACGCCUGCCCGGUGCCGGAAGGUUAAUUGAUGGGGUUAUCCGUAAGGAGAAGCUCUUGAUCGAAGCCCCGGUAAACGGCGGCCGUAACUAUAACGGUCCUAAGGUAGCGAAAUUCCUUGUCGGGUAAGUUCCGACCUGCACGAAUGGCGUAAUGAUGGCCAGGCUGUCUCCACCCGAGACUCAGUGAAAUUGAACUCGCUGUGAAGAUGCAGUGUACCCGCGGCAAGACGGAAAGACCCCGUGAACCUUUACUAUAGCUUGACACUGAACACUGGUCCUUGAUGUGUAGGAUAGGUGGGAGGCUUUGAAGUGUGGACGCCAGUCUGCAUGGAGCCAUCCUUGAAAUACCACCCUUUAAUGGCUGGUGUUCUAACGUGGGCCCGUUAUCCGGGUUGCGGACAGUGUCUGGUGGGUAGUUUGACUGGGGCGGUCUCCUCCUAAAGAGUAACGGAGGAGCACGAAGGUCAGCUAAUCCUGGUCGGACAUCAGGAGGUUAGUGCAAUGGCAUAAGCUGGCUUGACUGCGAGCGUGACGGCGCGAGCAGGUGCGAAAGCAGGUCAUAGUGAUCCGGUGGUUCUGAAUGGAAGGGCCAUCGCUCAACGGAUAAAAGGUACUCCGGGGAUAACAGGCUGAUACCGCCCAAGAGUUCAUAUCGACGGCGGUGUUUGGCACCUCGAUGUCGGCUCAUCACAUCCUGGGGCUGAAGUAGGUCCCAAGGGUAUGGCUGUUCGCCAUUUAAAGUGGUACGCGAGCUGGGUUUAGAACGUCGUGAGACAGUUCGGUCCCUAUCUGCCGUGGGCGCUGGAGAAUUGAGGGGGGCUGCUCCUAGUACGAGAGGACCGGAGUGGACGCAUCACUGGUGUUCGGGUUGUCAUGCCAAUGGCAUUGCCCGGUAGCUAAAUGCGGAAGAGAUAAGUGCUGAAAGCAUCUAAGCACGAAACUUGCCCCGAGAUGAGUUCUCCCUGACUCCUUGAGAGUCCUGAAGGAACGUUGAAGACGACGACGUUGAUAGGCCGGGUGUGUAAGCGCAGCGAUGCGUUGAGCUAACCGGUACUAAUGAACCGUGAGGCUUAACCUU